UACAGAGGGUGCGAGCGUUGUCCGGAAUUACUGGGCGUAAAGGGCGCGUAGGCGGCUUGAUAAGUAGGGGGUGAAAUUCCAUGGCUCAACCAUGGAUCGGCCUUCUAGACUGUCAGGCUUGAGCACGGUAGAGGCAGAUGGAAUUCCCGGUGUAGCGGUGGAAUGCGUAGAGAUCGGGAAGAACACCAGUGGCGAAGGCGGUCUGCUGGGCCGUUGCUGACGCUGAGGCGCGACAGCGUGGGGAGCAAACAGG
rnacentral:misc_RNA from 1 species